AACAGUCAAGGACGCGUGUCGUCAACUAAUCAACACUCUUGUAUAGGCAAUGUCUGAGCAAACAAGAAAGAGAAAAGAAAAAGACAAUAGCACGAGAGAAUGAAAAAAAAAAAAAGAGUAACAAAGGUGUCUCGUCACACAUUCCACAAGAAAGUUCACAUUCGAAUGACUGGAUUCAGCCGGUCAGUCGUCAGUUCAUUCCCACGACAGUUUCUAAAGAUUGUGUUGAAGAGGUAGAACGACUCGGGACCGGUUCUAAAGACCGGGAGGUCUCUUCGUUUGUUGGGAAGAGUUUAGAGACCUGAAUAAA